AGCUUCGGUAUCUCAUUUGGAAGAGCGUAGAAUUCGUAAUCUACUGGUCACGGGUUUAAUACCCGUCCAGGCCA